rnacentral:RNase_P_RNA from 1 species
CCAGGGGGCCGGGCAGCCGCGUCCUACGUCAAGCUCAGGAUGAGCCGGGCGGAGGCCGAGGAAAGUCCGGGCUCCACGAGACGAGGGUGGCGGGUAACGCCCGCCGGGCGUGGGCCUCGGCCCGCGUUCAGGGAAAGUGCCACAGAAAGCAGACCGCUAAGCGGGGCAACCCGCCAGCAAGGGUGAAAGGGUGCGGCAAGAGCGCACCGCGCUCCUGGCAACAGGGGCGGCACGGCAAACCCCACCCGGAGCAAGACCGAAUAGGGGCGGCGCGCCGGGGCUUCGGCUCCGGCAGGCGGGUUUCGCGCCGAGUCGUCCGGGUUGGUCGCUGGAGCGCCGCAGCAAUGCGGCGCCGAGAGGAAUGGCUGCCGAACCGCGCGGGCGACCGCGCGGGGAACAGAACCCGGCUUACAGGCUCCCUGGCAUU